rnacentral:lncRNA from 1 species
GUACGAGUGGCCGCGCGGGUCAGCAGCGUUACUCUGCACACAGCGCGUGCACUGUACUGUACGUCUGGCGCGCGGAACUAGUGGCCAAGAGCGCUGCUAGCGCUCGUAUUUUUCUGCUACAUGUUCAACGUUAUUAAAACCAUUCGACGAUUAAAAUUCACUGCUUCUGGGCACACUGUGACCCAAAUUAACUUUGUUAUCCUUUUUCUAUACGGGGCCAAGACGAAGUCACAUAAAUACACCAGGGGGAAUUCGCUGUGUACCGAACUGAACCGAACCGAACCGGAUGGGGGAGCGCGAGCGCGCCCGUGUCGAGCUGCUGCUGGAAACUGCAGGCACUGAUGGGCGAAGAGGGUAACCCGCGGUGAUGGCGGACCACUCCAGUAUG